AUUGAACGCUGGCGGCAUGCCUUACACAUGCAAGUCGAACGGUAACGGGCCUUCGGGUGCCGACGAGUGGCGAACGGGUGAGUAAUACAUCGGAACGUGCCCGAUCGUGGGGGAUAACGAGGCGAAAGCUUUGCUAAUACCGCAUACGAUCUACGGAUGAAAGCAGGGGACCGCAAGGCCUUGCGCGGACGGAGCGGCCGAUGGCAGAUUAGGUAGUUGGUGGGAUAAAAGCUUACCAAGCCGACGAUCUGUAGCUGGUCUGAGAGGAUGAUCAGCCACACUGGGACUGAGACACGGCCCAGACUCCUACGGGAGGCAGCAGUGGGGAAUUUUGGACAAUGGGCGCAAGCCUGAUCCAGCCAUGCCGCGUGCAGGAUGAAGGCCUUCGGGUUGUAAACUGCUUUUGUACGGAACGAAAAGCCUUCUUUUAAUACAGGAGGGUCAUGACGGUAUCGUAAGAAUAAGCACCGGCUAACUACGUG
rnacentral:rRNA from 1 species